CGAUGUUAAGGCAAUUUCGAUAAGAUUUUGUCAGGGGCAGAUAACCCCGUAAGGACCUCAUUAUGUAUUCAUAUAUUCAUUAAUGGCGAAAAAUCCGUAAGCAGCGUCUAUCGAUGAAACGGUAUGAAAUCAAAUUACAUACAUGCCUGUCAACUAAAAACAGGUAUUCAUAUGAUGUAAUUUGUGUAUCGAAACACGAAUAUUGUAUGUUUGUGCUAUAAUUAUUAUGGCAAACAGUUGCAAUAGCUGUUUUUCUUGACGAGAUUGUCGGCUUUUGGACCCCGCCUCGUUUUGCAGAUUAACCAAUCAGUGAACGAUCGCCGUCAAAAAGAUGUUUGUAGUUUGCAGAAUGGAAAGAACCUUGCAGCGAAAAUUAUUUUCACUUCUACGUGAAAAUCUAACCAGAAAACUCACCUGUCAAUUACAAGAUACAGUAUGCCAUUCCAGCUUUGAUAAAUAUAAAGUAAUGGUUUGAAUUUGGAGAGCUUUAUUAUUAUAGACAGGGAUGAUGACCUGCAGUGAGACAGCAGUAGAAAGUUACUUAUAACUCAUCAUGGCCAUUAUGGAAGAUCUGAUUAAAAUUUGUUUAGAAAGCCACCAAAUAUGUCCAUGAAAAGUAGAAAAAAGACAGCAAUUCUACAUAAUGUACUAAGCAGAAGCAUUGACUGUUUCAAGACCAAAUGAAUUGGAAUUUAGUGUUUUGAUGCUGAGAGACAGAGGAAUAUUAACUGGACAAUUUAGCUUCUUUUUCAUCAUCAUUGAAGUUGAUGUUUACCAUCUUAAAGAGCUUUAACCUCAGUUAAAAUGAAUUCUAAAUAUAGGCAGUUUGGAGAUUUGUGAAUUUUCUUACAAUUGGAGUUUCAAAAAAGGAUUUCAUUUAAAAAAAAAUGUAUUUCACUGAUGUAAUUUGUCGUCUCUUUCAUGAAAUAUUUGAAAAAUCUGCAAUAUCUAACCAAGUGAGAGAUCUACAGAUCAUUUGCAGAUAGACAUAUAUAUGAUAUUCAGUUGAACUGUAAAAAGGAAAUAUUCAUUUAUAAGACUUA